UACAGAGGGUGCAAACGUUGCUCGGAAUCACUGGGCAUAAAGCGCAUGUAGGCGGUCUCCUAAGUCUGGUGUGAAAUCCCUCGGCUCAACCGGGGAACUGCAUUGGAUACUGGGAGGCUUGAGAGUUGUAGGGGUGGACGGAACUCCAGGUGGAGCGGUGAAAUGCGUAGAUAUCUGGAGGAACACCGGAGGCGAAGGCGACUACCUGGACUGAUACUGACACUGAGGUGCGAAAGCGUGGGGAGCAAACAGGAUUAGAUACCCCUGUAGU
rnacentral:rRNA from 1 species